AGAUUGAACGCUGGCGGCAGGCCUAAUACAUGCAAGUCGAACGGAUCCUUCGGGAUUAGUGGCGGACGGGUGAGUAACACGUGGGAACGUACCCUUUGGUUCGGAACAACUCAGGGAAACUUGAGCUAAUACCGAAUGUGCCCUUCGGGGAAAAGAUUUAUCGCCAUUGGAGCGGCCCGCGUCUGAUUAGCUAGUUGGUAGGGUAAAGGCCUACCAAGGCUACGAUCAGUAGCUGGUCUGAGAGGAUGAUCAGCCACACUGGGACUGAGACACGGCCCAGACUCCUACGGGAGGCAGCAGUAGGGAAUCUUGCGCAAUGGGCGAAAGCCUGACGCAGCCAUGCCGCGUGAAUGAUGAAGGUCUUAGGAUUGUAAAAUUCUUUCAGCGGGACGAUAAUGACGGUACCGCAGAAGAACGCCCGGCUAACUUCGUGCCAGCAGCCGC
rnacentral:rRNA from 1 species